rnacentral:piRNA from 1 species
CUGGAUGACAUGCAAAUGUAUUUUGGCUGC